UCUUCCGUAGUAUAGUGGUCAGUAUGUGAGCUUGUCACUUAAAAACUGACAUCGCUCGAGACCCGGGUUCAAUUCCCGGCGGGAGAG